UUUUUUUUUUUUUUAAGUGUCUGCCAAGAGCUUUCUCCUUUCCUCUGUGUUGAUUAUGCUUUGGCUAUGGAAACGGGUCUUCAUCUGUUUGCUAAUGGAAGAAGAGACACGUGAGGGUAGAAGUGUUGAGUCCACUUUGAGGCUUUCUCCUUCGGUUAAAAGAGAUUGAGAUACCACUGAACUCCGUCUCUUUUUCUAUGGUUAUGUUUUCCUAAGCUUCUAGGUUUUUGUUUCAUAGCCUUAGGGCUUGUAUUGUAUUUAAAUCUUAGUUCAGCUACUCGGUUUUCGGUGCUAUAGAACUUGGGGUGCUCUGUUUUUAGGCAAUAAUGCCAUGCAUAACUUCGGGCUUGAUCUCCAGGAUGAAGUGUCUUCCUCGGAUAAAGCUGCGGCAAAAGCGUGGUGACGCGUGAAUCUUAACGCUACUAAGGGUUUGCAAAAGUGAGUACUAGGGUUUGUUUUGUUGGGCUGGGUUUGAUUUGUUAGGUUGGGUUUGUUUAGCUGGGUUGGUUUAGCUCUUUGGUUAUUUAAGGCCCCUUUUACUAGUGAAA
rnacentral:misc_RNA from 1 species